rnacentral:tRNA from 1 species
UCGGGAAGUGGCUCAGUUUAGUAGAGCACCUGGUUUGGGACCAGGGGGUCGCAGGUUCGAAUCCUGUCUUCCCGAU